UCAAAGAAAAAUUCUUUCUAUACAUCUUUUGAAUACUGUUUUUUGCACACAUAACUAACAAACUACCAAACCCGAUAUCGAGAAACCUAAAAUAUAUGGUGGUAAAGUUGGAAAGCAAAAGGACAUGAAUUAAUUUCUCCGAGAAAACAGCUUAUUUCAAAUCUUCUGAGCUAACCCAUCUAAAGCAAAUUUCAAAGAAAAUAAAAAGGGCCUGCGAAUGAAAUUAUAAGUAUCUAAUCAAAAGCUGCAAAUGACGGAAAUCACCUGUCCGAG
rnacentral:misc_RNA from 1 species